rnacentral:rRNA from 1 species
UAAUGCCUAGGAAUCUGCCUGGUAGUGGGGGACAACGUUUCGAAAGGAACGCUAAUACCGCAUACGUCCUACGGGAGAAAGCAGGGGACCUUCGGGCCUUGCGCUAUCAGAUGAGCCUAGGUCGGAUUAGCUAGUUGGUGAGGUAAUGGCUCACCAAGGCGACGAUCCGUAACUGGUCUGAGAGGAUGAUCAGUCACACUGGAACUGAGACACGGKCCAGACUCCUACGGGAGGCAGCAGUGGGGAAUAUUGGACAAUGGGCGAAAGCCUGAUCCAGCCAUGCCGCGUGUGUGAAGAAGGUCUUCGGAUUGUAAAGCACUUUAAGUUGGGAGGAAGGGCAGUAAGUUAAUACCUUGCUGUUUUGACGUUACCGACAGAAUAAGCACCGGCUAACUCUGUGCCAGCAGCCGCGGUAAUACAGAGGGUGCAAGCGUUAAUCGGAAUUACUGGGCGUAAAGCGCGCGUAGGUGGUUCGUUAAGUUGGAUGUGAAAGCCCCGGGCUCAACCUGGGAACUGCAUCCAAAACUGGCGAGCUAGAGUACGGUAGAGGGUGGUGGAAUUUCCUGUGUAGCGGUGAAAUGCGUAGAUAUAGGAAGGAACASCAGUGGCGAAGGCGACCACCUGGACUGAUACUGACACUGAGGUGCGAAAGCGU